rnacentral:piRNA from 1 species
UGCUAUGUGGCAAGAAGGAAAACGGGUU